UACGGAGGAUGCAAGCGUUAUCCGGAAUGAUUGGGCGUAAAGCGUCCGCAGGUGGCUAUGUAAGUCUGCUGUUAAAGAGUCUAGCUCAACUAGAUAAGAGCAGUGGAAACUACAAGGCUAGAGUACGUUCGGGGCAGAGGGAAUUCCUGGUGUAGCGGUGAAAUGCGUAGAGAUCAGGAAGAACACCAGUGGCGAAGGCGCUCUGCUAGGCCGUAACUGACACUGAGGGACGAAAGCUAGGGGAGCAAAUGGG
rnacentral:rRNA from 1 species